CUUGAGCACGUAGGUGGGUUUGUAAGUCAGGUGUGAAAGCUUCUGUUCAACGGGAGAAUUGCAUCUGAAACUACGAAUCUUGAGUGUAGGAGGGGAGAAUGGAACUUCUGGUGGAGCGGUGAAAUGCGUAGAUAUCAGAAGGAACGCCGGCGGCGAAAGCGAUUCUCUGGCCUAUUACUGACACUCAGUGUGCGAAAGCUAGGGGAGCAAACGGGAUUAGAUACCCCGGUAGUCCUAGCCGUAAACGAUGGGCACUAAGUAGUGGGAAUUACCGAUGCUCUCUCUGCCGUAGCUAACGCAUUAAGUGCCCCGCCUGGGGAGUACGGCCGCAAGGCUAAAACUCAAAAGAAUUGACGGGGGCUCGCACAAGCGGUGGAGCAUGUGGCUUAAUUCGAUGCAACGCGAAGAACCUUACCGGGGCUUGACAUGGUAGAAGUAGGAACCCGAAAGGGUAACGAACGGUAUCCAGUCCGUGACUAUCACAGGUGUUGCAUGGCUGUCGUCAGCUCGUGUCGUGAGACGUUGGGUUAAGUCCCCUAACGAGCGAAGCCCUUGUUUUUAGUUACCAGCGGGUUAUGCCGGGUACUCUAGAAAGACUGCCGUCGUCAAGACGGAGGAAGGUGGGGAUGACGUCAAGUCAUCAUGGCCCUUAUGCCCCGGGCUGCACACGCGCUACAAUGGUCGGUACAAACGGAAGCGAAGCCGAGAGGUGAAGCGAAUCCAAGC
rnacentral:rRNA from 1 species